rnacentral:lncRNA from 1 species
UUUCCAAUCAAAUUUAACUAAAAUUUUGUCUGGAUUUUGUUCACUGGUGCGCUUCAAAUCAAAUAUGACUACAAUUUCAUCUGAUUUUUUUAAACGGCGCAUUUUCAAUCAAAUUUUAGUACAUUUCAUCUGGAUUUUGUUCAUUCCUGAGCUUCCAAUAAAAUUUGACUAAAAUUUUACGUGGGUUUAGUUCAUCGGUGUGUUUUCAAUUAAAUUUAACUAAAAUUUCACCGGAAUUUUGAUCAUUGGCCUAUUUCUGAUCAAAUUUGACUAAAAUUUCAACUGAG